rnacentral:rRNA from 1 species
GACAGAGGGUGCAAACGUUGCUCGGAAUUACUGGGCGUAAAGCGCGUGUAGGUGGACUGGUGUGUCAGAUGUGAAAUCCCUGGGCUCAACCCAGGAACUGCACCUGAAACUACCAGCCUUGAGUGGUGGAGAGGGAAGUGGAAUUCCUGGUGUAGAGGUGAAAUGCGCAGAUAUCGGGAAGAACACCCGUGGCGAAGGCGGCUCUCUGGGACGGUACUGACGCUGAGACGCGAAAGCGUGGGGAGCGAACAGG